CAGCUUUUCAACAUUUUUACGUCAAAAUGCACGAUAGAUUACCCUAGCUUUAGAUCUGGGUCUUGCUCUCUAAAUAAAAUAAAACAUUGGGCAAUGUUAAGUUGCUCAUACAUGGCUAUCGGAAACUAUGUGGGACAGAUGAGAGCAUGGAAAAGAUGCAAGUGCCAAGUUCAAAAUCUUUGUAAGAGAAGGCAGAUAGACAUCUAUGCACCAGUUCUGUAAACAUGAUGGGUGUUUCCGA
rnacentral:lncRNA from 1 species